rnacentral:rRNA from 1 species
CGGUGUUCAACUGGCGUGUCCGCGGGACGUCCUGCCGGUGGGCUUAGCCCGCAAGGGCGGCCCAACUUCAAAUCCCAUCGCGGUGCUCUUCACUGAGUGUCGAGGUGGGCCGGCACGUUUACUUUGAACAAAUUAGAGUGCUUAAAGCAGGCUAAAACUUCGCCUGAAUACUGUGUGCAUGGAAUAAUGGAAUAGGACCUCGGUUCUAUUUUGUUGGUUUUCGGAACCCCGAGGUAAUGAUUAAUAGGAACGGAUGGGGGCAUUCGUAUUGCGACGUUAGAGGUGAAAUUCUUGGAUCGUCGCAAGACGGACAGAAGCGAAAGCAUUUGCCAAAAACGCUUUCAUUGAUCAAGAACGAAAGUUAGAGGUUCGAAGGCGAUCAGAUACCGCCCUAGUUCUAACCAUAAACGAUGCCAGCUAGCGAUCCGUCGACGUUCCUCCGAUGACUCGACGGGCAGCUUCCGGGAAACCAAAGCUUUUGGGUUCCGGGGGAAGUAUGGUUGCAAAGCUGAAACUUAAAGGAAUUGACGGAAGGGCACCACCGGGAGUGGAGCCUGCGGCUUAAUUUGACUCAACACGGGAAACCUCACCAGGCCCGGACACCGGAAGGAUUGACAGAUUGAGAGCUCUUUCUUGAUUCGGUGGGUGGUGGUGCAUGGCCGUUCUUAGUUGGUGGAGCGAUUUGUCUGGUUAAUUCCGAUAACGAACGGGACUCUAGCCUGCUAACUAGGCGUAUUUUCGACAUCUCAAAGGUCCGUCGUCCCGGCCCUCGGGUCGUGGGCGUGCGCGAUUUUUACUGUCGGCGUACUAUCAAUUCUUCUUAGAGGGACAGGUGGCUUCUAGCCGCACGAGAUUGAGCAAUAACAGGUCUGUGAUG